rnacentral:rRNA from 1 species
ACCUGGUUGAAUCCUGCAAGUAG